GACGAACGCUGGCGGCGUGCCUAAUACAUGCAAGUAGAACGCUGAAGGAGGAGCUUGCUUCUCUGGAUGAGUUGCGAACGGGUGAGUAACGCGUAGGUAACCUGCCUGGUAGCGGGGGAUAACUAUUGGAAACGAUAGCUAAUACCGCAUAAGAGUAGAUGUUGCAUGACAUUUGCUUAAAAGGUGCAAUUGCAUCACUACCAGAUGGACCUGCGUUGUAUUAGCUAGUUGGUGGGGUAACGGCUCACCAAGGCGACGAUACAUAGCCGACCUGAGAGGGUGAUCGGCCCCGCUGGGACUGAGACACGGCCCAGACUCCUACGGGAGGCAGCAGUAGGGAAUCUUCGGCAAUGGACGGAAGUCUGACCGAGCAACGCCGCGUGAGUGAAGAAGGUUGUCGGAUCGUAAAGCUCUGUUGUAAGAGAAGAACGAGUGUGAGAGUGGAAAGUUCACACUGUGACGGUAUCUUAACAGAAAGGGACGGCUAACUACGUG
rnacentral:rRNA from 1 species